GUUGUCGUCAGCUCGUGUCGUGAGAUGUUGGGUUAAGUCCCGCAACGAGCGCAACCCUUAUCCUUAGUAGCCAGCACGUCGUGGUGGGCACUCUAGGGAGACUGCCAGGGAUAACCUGGAGGAAGGUGGGGAUGACGUCAAAUCAUCAUGCCCCUUAUGAUUUGGGCUACACACGUGCUACAAUGGCGUAAACAAAGGGAGGCGACCCUGCGAAGGCAAGCAAAUCCCAAAAAUAACGUCCCAGUUCGGACUGUAGUCUGCAACCCGACUACACGAAGCUGGAAUCGCUAGUAAUCGCGGAUCAGAAUGCCGCGGUGAAUACGUUCCCGGGUCUUGUACACACCGCCCGUCACACCAUGGGAGUCAGCAACGCCCGAAGUCAGUGACCCAACUCGCAAGAGAGGGAGCUGCCGAAGGCGGGGCAGGUAACUGGGGUGAAGUCGUAACAAGGUAGCCGUAUCGGAAGGUGCGGCUGGAUCACCUC
rnacentral:rRNA from 1 species